rnacentral:lncRNA from 1 species
UAGUAAUUAAAAAUAUACUUACGCAAGUCAUACUAACCUUUCCAAGAAGACAGCAGUAUCACAACAAGCAUUUUAACUGUGUUAUUUUUAUUCAGAUGAUUAAUCCAUGUCUUGCAUUAGGCAUACAUUGGAUUUAGCAUUCCACUGCAGUUCUCUGUAUGCAGUCUUGAAAUUUCAGCACUAUCCUUUAUUGAUUUCUGCCUGCAGUCCAGACUCUUGAGAGCUCUUCAAGACAGAACCAUCUUUUCUGAAUUACACAGCUGUCUAUCAGGAGCCAUGUACCGUUGUUCUCCUAUUCUUUGUUCAAAUGGCUUGGCUUCUCCUCUGAUACAGGAGAAUAAAACAACGGCAACAACAAAAUCUCUACAGAAUGAAAUGGUUUUACCUGUGAUUUGUUACAGUAAUUGUGGAGCUUAUGUUUACCCCCAUUCAGCUGACUGUAUUUCAGAAAGCUCCUGUUCUGAUGCAAACGCCUGCACGUUCUGCCUAAUGUUGUCACUAUCUAUGGAAAAGGAGAGAGAACAGAAAGCUCAGAAAACUGUUUUUUGAAAACAGUAACUGCCGGACCUAACACACAUACAUAUAUAGGGGGUUGACAGUCCAGGGAGGUGAGUCCAAGUGAUGGUGACUGCCUUCUGGAGAAACAAAUAAGAGAACAGAAAAGGCAGCGUGUGGAGGUAAAAAAUGAAGAUGACAUAUCUGAGAAACUCCAACUGAAAACCUAAGCCCAAGUGAUUCUCCUUCACAGGGAUGAGAGUAACAUAGUAGAGUCCUGGCUUAAAGGUAGGUCAGCUGGAUUUGUAUUCAGAUAUUUAUGGGUAAACAAGGUAAAUUAAUAAUAGGGCUGUUUGCUCAUCAGGUUGUUUGCCUCAGGGUGUAAAACAGAAUAUUUGCUUAUAUAACGCUAGAAACAGUUUGGGGCAGAAAAGCCCACCUAAUUAACAUCCUAUGCAUAGCAUUACAGAGUUGCAUGGAAAAAAAAAUAUUGUUUUGUACUAAUGUUUUCUUAACAAUGUGAUUCUUGCUAGAAUCUGAAUGUCCUAUUUGCUAUAGCAAACAGAGGCUAAAGCCUCUAAACAUAGAAGCUAAACAU